AAAUUUUUGGAGUCAGUACAAAGUUAUACCUCGGAUAUUAUAUUUAUUAGAAUUUUUUAAACAAAGGAGGAACAUUCAUGACGUAGAUCUUCAUCGAAUGGAUUUUUAUAUUCCGCAUUUUGAGAUUUAACAAAUCUAAAGCUCGAAGAGCCAGUCUGACUGAUUUUAUUCAGCCUAGUUUUGAACCGCACUUCAGACAAAUCUUGACGAAUUUAUGGAUAUUCUUAAACCACUAUAAGAAUUCUUUAAUUCGAAAUUGGCACCCGUGACAGAAGAGGAUUACAGUGGAGUUUCAUCUCAUAAUUAUCUAGAACUGGAUCUUAUAACGUCUAUCUGCAAUACACUGCUAAGAGAUAUUCCCACCCACAACAAGAAUCGACAAGUGAAUAAUCAACUUGUCAGAGAUAAAAGCAAUACAGAAAGAUCAAUUUCGAGGCCUAACCGAAUUAUACCUCAACAAAAUAAAUCGCCUCAAGAACAAACAUAUUUAUUGGAUGUUCAACCACUUCAACUUCAUUCUGGAUCAAGUCAAAUUCAUCUAAUUUAAAUGUUAAUUCAUUGAAUACAAAUCAAUUUUUUUCAUCAAGCCGUUUACAAAAUAUGAAUUUUUCAAAAUUUAAAUUUUUAAUGAUUUUUUAUUUUUGAAUGCUCAUAACUUUCUUAAACAUGCAUCAAUUUUCAGUUUUUUUUCAAAAUGUGUGUUAACUGAACUUUUUCAAAAAUUCCAAUCAAAAAUUUAUACAUUAAAAAUUUACUAUAAUUUUUGUAAUUUAAAAAAAAUCAUGUUUUAAAAACUCUUUGUAUUCGUGGAUUUUUUUUAAUUUUCUAAAAAACAAAUUUCUUUUACAAAAAUUUUAAGCCUUGUCCGGUCGUGGGAAAACAUUUUUUCUAUAUUUUCGGAAUUUUUAAUUUAAAUACAUUUUUUAUACCGUAAAUGGGGUAAAGUCGGCGUUAGGGGAAAAGUCAGCGAUUAUUACAAAUUAAUUUAAAAAAUUUCUUUUUUCUUUCCAAUAAAAAAAUCAUUUUAUUAUAAUUACUUUAGUUUGUAUUGUAGGGACGUCAAACAUUACUUUGACAAUUGUUCCAUUCAUAUUAAGUGGAUAAUUUUACUGAAAUAUGUGUUUUUAUACAAAUGUUCAUUUUACAUUUUUACUAAAUAGUUUUGAAAACAUGAUUUUAGAGUUGUAUUUAAAUUUUUUAUGACAAAGUCAACUGAACAACGUAUUUCAAACAUCCCUGGCAUGAUUUACCAUAAAGAUAAAUUGUGAUAAAAUAAACAAGAAUUUUAAAAAACAUUUAUUUACAAAUAUUAUUGAAUUCGGUGGAAAAGUCGACGACAAUAAAAGGGUGUUUAGAUAUUUUUCUGAAAACUAAAUGAAUUUUUUUAUGUAAUGAUAUUAAAGAAGAGAUAUUAAAAGUAUUAACAUUGUAUUUUAUGUUUUUCUCAAAGUUUUUUUUAAGAAAAACUUAAAGA